GAUGAACGCUGGCGGCGUGCCUAAUACAUGCAAGUCGAGCGAACGGACCAGUAGCUUGCUUCUCUGAUGUUAGCGGCGGACGGGAGAGUAACAUGUGGAUCACCUACCUAUAAGACUGGGUUAACUUCGUGAAGCCGGUGCCGAUAACGGAUACUAUCUUCAUGCGCAUGGUUCGAAAGUGUAAGACGGUUUUGCUGUACCCUAUAGAUGUAUCCGCGCUGCAUUGGCUAGUUGGUACCGUAACGGCUUACCAAAGCGGCGAUGCAUUGCCGACCUGAGAGGGUGAUCGGCCACACUGGAACUGAGCCACGGUCCAGACUCCUACGGGAGGCAGCAGUAGGGAAUCGUCCGAGAUGGGCGAAAGCCUGACGGAGCGACGCCGCGUGAGUGAUGAAGGUCCUCGGAUCGUAAAACUCUGUUAUUGGUGUAGAACGUAUGUGGAAGGGACUGUGCACAUCUUGACGGUACCUAAUCAGAAAGCAACGGCUAACUACGUG
rnacentral:rRNA from 1 species